GAUGGGCUGCCCGCCGGAGGGGUUAACGUCCAGCCCUCAGGAAAGGGGGCUCGGAAAAGUGUAGUGGGAUGUUGAUUCCCUUCCCAAAUCACCCUGGUGAGACGCUCGACUGUUUGCAUCUGCUUCUGCCAGAAUCUGCUGGUGUCCAUGGGAAGCACUUCCAUGGAGAAAACCCAUCCCAUGUGAAGCAGGACUGCACGCUGAGCCCCUCGCAGUCAGCGCAGCACUGGGGUUAAAAGCCCCCCUCCAACAGGAUGGCAAAAGACCAUCCACUUGGAAAGAACAUUGCUACUAACAAAGCCUGGGAGCAACUCCCUCU